rnacentral:rRNA from 1 species
AGAGUAUGAUCAUGGCUCAGAAUCAACGCUGGCGGCGUGCCUAACACAUGCAAGUCGAACGAGAAAGUGGAGCAAUCCAUGAGUAAAGUGGCGCACGGGUGAGUAACACGUGACUAACCUACCCUUGAGUGGGGAAUAACCUAGGGAAACCUGGGCUAAUACCGCAUAACACCUACGGGUCAAAGGAGCAAUUCGCUUAAGGAGGGGGUCGCGGCAGAUUAGCUAGUUGGCGGGGUAAUGGCCCACCAAGGCAGUGAUCUGUAUCCGGCCUGAGAGGGCGCACGGACACACUGGAACUGAAACACGGUCCAGACCCCUACGGGAGGCAGCAGUGGGGAAUUUUGCGCAAUGGGGGAAACCCUGACGCAGCAACGCCGCGUGGAGGAUGAAGUCCCUUGGGACGUAAACUCCUUUCGACCGGGAAGAUUAUGACGGUACCGGAAGAAGAAGCCCCGGCUAACUUCGUGCCAGCAGCCGCGGUAAUACGAGGGGGGCAAGCGUUGUUCGGAAUUAUUGGGCGUAAAGGGUGCGUAGGCGGUUCGGUAAGUCUUAUGUGAAAUCUUCGGGCUCAGCUCGAAGUCUGCAUGAGAACUGCCGGGCUUGAGUGUGGGAGAGGUGAGUGGAAUUUCCGGUGUAGCGGUGAAAUGCGUAGAUAUCGGAAGGAACACCUGUGGCGAAAGCGGCUCACUGGACCACAACUGACGCUGAGGCACGAAAGCUAGGGGAGCAAACAGGAUUAGAUACCCUGGUAGUCCUAGCCCUAAACGAUGAUCGCUUGGUGUGACGGGUACCCAAUCCCGCCGUGCCGAAGCUAACGCGUUAAGCGAUCCGCCUGGGGAGUACGGUCGCA